rnacentral:rRNA from 1 species
UACGAAGGGGGCUAGCGUUGUUCGGAAUCACUGGGCGUAAAGCGCACGUAGGCGGAUCGUUAAGUCGAGGGUGAAAUCCCUGGGCUCAACCCAGGAACUGCGUCCGAUACUGGGAGGCUUGAAUCCGGGAGAGGGAUGUGGAAUUCCAGGUGUAGCGGUGAAAUGCGUAGAUAUCUGGAGGAACACCGGGUGGCGAAGGCGGCAUCCUGGACCGGUAUUGACGCUGAUGCGCGAAAGCCAGGGGGAGCAAACGGGG